rnacentral:rRNA from 1 species
GUUGUAAGGUUAAGUAAUGAAGCGUACAGGGCGGAUGCCUAGGCAGUCAGAGGCGAAGAAGGGCGUGCAAAUCUGCGAAAAGCGUCGGUAAGCUGAUAUGAAGCGAGAGAGCCGACGAUCCCCGAAUGGGGCAACCCAGUGCAAUAAGUUGCACUAUCGUUAGAUGAAUAAAUAGUUUAACGAGGCGAACCGGGGGAACUGAAACAUCUAAGUACCCCGAGGAAAAGAAAUCAACCGAGAUUCCCCUAGUAGCGGCGAGCGAGGGGGGAGCAGCCCAGAGUGUGUAUUGUUAAGAGUGGUUAGGGGAAUGACCUGGAAAGGUCGGCGAUAAAGGGUGAUAGCCCCGUACCUAAAAAUGCGCUGACAUUGCACUCAAAGAGUAGAGCGGGACACGAGAAAUCCUGUUUGAAGACGGGGGGCCCAUCCUCCAAGGCUAAAUACUCCUGACUGACCGAUAGUGAACCAGUACCGUGAGGGAAAGGCGAAAAGAACCCCGGCGAGGGGAGUGAAAGAGACCCUGAAACCCUGUACGUACAAGCAGUGGGAGCCUUGAAUAGGGUGACUGCGUACCUUUUGUAUAAUGGGUCAGCGACUUAUAUUUUGUAGCAAGGUUAACCGUUUAGGGGAGCCGUAGGGAAACCGAGUCUGAAUAGGGCGACGAGUUGCAAGGUAUAGACCCGAAACCCGGUGAUCUAGCCAUGAGCAGGUUGAAGAUAGGUUAACGCCCGUUGGAGGACCGAACCGACUUAUGUUGAAAAAUGAGCGGAUGACUUGUGGCUGGGGGUGAAAGGCCAAUCAAACCGGGAGAUAGCUGGUUCUCCCCGAAAGCUAUUUAGGUAGCGCCUCGUGAGAUUAUCUUCGGGGGUAGAGCACUGUUUCGGCUAGGGGGCCAUCCCGGCUUACCACCCCGAUGCAAACUGCGAAUACCGAAGAAUAUAUCACGGGAGACACACGGCGGGUGCUAACGUCCGUCGUGAAGAGGGCAACAACCCAGACCGCCAGCUAAGGUCCCGAAGUCAUGGUUAAGUGGGAAACGAAGUGGGAAGGCGAAGACAGCCAGGAUGUUGGCUUAGAAGCAGCCAUCAUUAAAAGAAAGCGUAAUAGCUCACUGGUCGAGUCGGCCUGCGCGGAAGAUGUAACGGGGCUAAACCAUGCACCGAAGCUGCGGCAGUGGUGAUUACAGAUGUAAUGACUGUUGGGUAGGGGAGCGUUCUGUAAGCCGCAGAAGGUGAAUAGAGAUGUUCACUGGAGGUAUCAGAAGUGCGAAUGCUGACAUAAGUAACGAUAAAGCGGGUGAAAAACCCGCUCGCCGAAAGACCAAGGGUUCCUGUCCAACGUUAAUCGAGGCAGGGUGAGUCGACCCCUAAGGCGAGGCUGAAAAGCGUAGUCGAUGGGCAACAGGUUAAUAUUCCUGUACAGUUUGUUAUGACGAAGUGGUGACGGAGAAGGCUAUGUUAUCCGGGAGACGGUUUACCCGGUUCAAUCGUGUAGGGAGUGCAGUUAGGCAAAUCCGGCGGCACACAAUCUUGAGGCGAGAUGAGGAGGUACGUAAGGUACGUAAGUAACAGAUGCCCGGCUUCCAGGAAAAGCCACUAAGUGAGAUGUAACAGACGAUCGUACCCGAAACCGACACAGGUGGUCAGGUAGAGCAUACUAAGGCGCUUGAGAGAACUCGGGUGAAGGAACUAGGCAAAAUGGUGCCGUAACUUCGGGAGAAGGCACGCUGAUGUAGGUGAGGCACUGAGAACGUGCUGAGCGUAUGUGAGUCGCAGAGACCAGCUGGCUGCAACUGUUUAUUAAAAACACAGCACUGUGCCAACACGCAAGUGGACGUAUACGGUGUGACGCCUGCCCGGUGCCGGAAGGUUAAUUGAUGGUGUAAUCUGCGAGGAGAAGCGCUUGAUCGAAGCCCCGGUAAACGGCGGCCGUAACUAUAACGGUCCUAAGGUAGCGAAAUUCCUUGUCGGGUAAGUUCCGACCUGCACGAAUGGCGUAAUGAUGGCCAGGCUGUCUCCACCCGAGACUCAGUGAAAUUGAACUCGCUGUGAAGAUGCAGUGUACCCGCGGCAAGACGGAAAGACCCCGUGAACCUUUACUAUAGCUUGACACUGGGACUUGAGAACUAAUGUGUAGGAUAGGUGGGAGGCGACGAGAUGUGGACGCCAGUUUGCAUGGAGCCGUUGUUGAAAUACCACUCUUUAUUUUUUGAUUUUCUAACUUAGCGCCGUGACCCGGCGCAAGGACAGUGUCUGGUGGGUAGUUUGACUGGGGCGGUCUCCUCCUAAAGCGUAACGGAGGAGCACGAAGGUUAGCUAAUCACGGUCGGACAUCGUGAGGAUAGUGCAAAGGCAUAAGCUAGCUUGACUGCGAGAGUGACGGCUCGAGCAGGUACGAAAGUAGGUCUUAGUGAUCCGGUGGUUCUGAAUGGAAGGGCCAUCGCUCAACGGAUAAAAGGUACUCCGGGGAUAACAGGCUGAUACCGCCCAAGAGUUCAUAUCGACGGCGGUGUUUGGCACCUCGAUGUCGGCUCAUCACAUCCUGGGGCUGAAGUAGGUCCCAAGGGUAUGGCUGUUCGCCAUUUAAAGUGGUACGCGAGCUGGGUUUAGAACGUCGUGAGACAGUUCGGUCCCUAUCUGCCGUGGGCGUAGGAAGAUUGAGGGGGUCUGCUGCUAGUACGAGAGGACCGGAGUGGACGCAUCGCUGGUGUACGGGUUGUCAUGCCAAUGGCAUAGCCUGGUAGCUAAAUGCGGAAGAGAUAACCGCUGAAAGCAUCUAAGCGGGAAACUUGCCCCGAGAUGAUUCUUCCCAGAGAUAGUAAUCUCCGAAGGGACGUUUAAGACGAAGACGUAGAUAGGCUGGGUGUGUAAUUGCAGUGAUGCAUUGAGCUAACCAGUACUAAUGACCCAGGAGUCUUAACCUUACAACACCGAAG